rnacentral:rRNA from 1 species
CUUGCUCCUCUGACGUUAGCGGCGGACGGGUGAGUAACACGUGGAUAACCUACCUAUAAGACUGGGAUAACUUCGGGAAACCGGAGCUAAUACCGGAUAAUAUAUUGAACCGCAUGGUUCAAUAGUGAAAGACGGUUUUGCUGUCACUUAUAGAUGGAUCCGCGCCGCAUUAGCUAGUUGGUAAGGUAACGGCUUACCAAGGCAACGAUGCGUAGCCGACCUGAGAGGGUGAUCGGCCACACUGGAACUGAGACACGGUCCAGACUCCUACGGGAGGCAGCAGUAGGGAAUCUUCCGCAAUGGGCGAAAGCCUGACGGAGCAACGCCGCGUGAGUGAUGAAGGUCUUCGGAUCGUAAAACUCUGUUAUUAGGGAAGAACAAAUGUGUAAGUAACUAUGCACGUCUUGACGGUACCUAAUCAGAAAGCCACGGCUAACUACGUGCCAGCAGCCGCGGUAAUACGUAGGUGGCAAGCGUUAUCCGGAAUUAUUGGGCGUAAAGCGCGCGUAGGCGGUUUUUU